GAGAGUGGCGUACGGGUGAGUAACACGUAGGUGACCUGUCCUGAAGAUGGGGAUAACUGUUGGAAACGGCAGCUAAUACCAAAUGUACUCAACGAUUCGGUUCGUUGAGUAAAGUCCCCGAAAGGGGUGCGCUUCGGGAGGGGCCUGCGGCCCAUCAGCUAGUUGGUAGGGUAAUGGCCUACCAAGGCGAAGACGGGUAGGGGACGUGAGAGCGUGGCCCCCCACACUGGCACUGAGACACGGGCCAGACUCCUACGGGAGGCAGCAGUGAGGAAUAUUGCCCAAUGGACGCAAGUCUGAGGCAGCAACGCCGCGUGGGUGAUGAAGGCCUUCGGGUCGUAAAACCCUUUUCUGUGGGAAGAGAGAGGACGGUACCGCAGGAAUAAGCGUCGGCUAACUACGUGCCAGCAGCCGCGGUAAAACGUAGGACGCAAGCGUUAUCCGGAUUUACUGGGCGUAAAGAGCGUUGAGGCGGUUUCGUAAGUUGGACGUUAAAGCCCCGGGCUCAACUCGGGGAGGCCGUUCAAUACUGCGAGACUUGAGGACAGCAGAGGGGGGUGGAAUUUCCGGUGUAGUGGUGAAAUGCGUAGAUAUCGGAAGGAACACCAGUGGCGAAGGCGGCCCCCUGGGCUGCUCCUGACGCUGAAGGCGAAAGCUAGGGGAGCGAACGGGAUUAGAAACCCCGGUAGUCCUAGCUGUAAACGAUGGAUACUAGGUGUGGGAGGCGAAAAAACCUUCCGUGCCGUAGCUAACGCGUUAAGUAUCCCGCCUGGGGACUACGACCGCAAGGUUAAAACUCAAAGGAAUUGACNG
rnacentral:rRNA from 1 species